AGGGGGUGACAGACCCCCCUCCCCUUUCCUGAGCCUGGAGUGGGGCUCAGUAAAACUCAGGUUUGUGCCUAACCAGACUGAGCCAGUCCAAGCCCUGC
rfam:Egretta garzetta contig81863, whole genome shotgun sequence.